CCCUUAGAUGUUCUGGGCUGCACGCGCGCUACAAUGGCGUUUUCAAAAAGAUUGCUAAUCCGAAAGGACCAGCGGAUCUUCGAAGUGGCGUCGUGAUCGGGACAGUUGAUUGCAAUUAUUCGACUCGAACGAGGAAUUCCUUGUAAUCGUGCGUCAUCAGCGCACGCUGAAUACGUCCCUGUUCUUUGUACACACCGCCCGUCGCUCCUACCGAUCGAGCGAUCCAAUGAAUGUUUCGGAGCGGAACUGAGAUGCUAAUGCGUCUCUUUUACGCGAAUUUGUGUGAAUUUGAUCGCUGAGAGGAAGGAGAAGUCGUAACA
rnacentral:rRNA from 1 species